GGGCAGCAUGACUGUAGCAAUACAGUUGAUGGCGACCGGCAAACGGGUGCGGAACACGUACAGAACCUUCCUUCGAGCGGGGAAUAGCCCAGAGAAAUUUGGAUUAAUACCCCAUAGUAUUACGGAGUGGCAUCACUCUUUAAUUAAAGAUUUAUCACUUGAAGAUGGCUGUGCGGCUGAUUAGGUAGUUGGUAAGGUAACGGCUUACCAAGCCUGCGAUCAGUAACUGGUGUGAGAGCACGACCAGUCACACGGGCACUGAGACACGGGCCCGACUCCUACGGGAGGCAGCAGUAAGGAAUAUUGGUCAAUGGACGAAAGUCUGAACCAGCUAUGCCGCGUGGAGGAUGAAGGCCCUCUGGGUUGUAAACUUCUUUUAUAUGGGACGAAAAAGGGUCUUUCUAGAUCAACUGACGGUACCAUGUGAAUAAGCACCGGCUAACUCCGUGCCAGCAGCCGCGGUAAUACGGAGGGUGCAAGCGUUAUCCGGAUUCACUGGGUUUA
rnacentral:rRNA from 1 species